rnacentral:rRNA from 1 species
ACUCCUACGGGAGGCAGCAGUGGGGAAUAUUGGACAAUGGGCGCAAGCCUGAUCCAGCAAUGCCGCGUGAGUGAAGAAGGUCUUCGGAUUGUAAAGCUCUUUCGACGGGGACGAUGAUGACGGUACCCGUAGAAGAAGCCCCGGCUAACUUCGUGCCAGCAGCCGCGGUAAUACGAAGGGGGCUAGCGUUGCUCGGAAKGACUGGGCGUAAAGGGCGCGUAGGCGGUUCGUACAGUCAGACGUGAAAUUCCCGGGCUCAACCUGGGGGCCGCGUUUGAUACGUACGGGCUUGAGUUCGGAAGAGGGUCGUGGAAUUCCCAGUGUAGAGGUGAAAUUCSUAGAUAUUGGGAAGAACACCGGUGGCGAAGGCGGCGACCUGGUCCGAUACUGACWCUGAGGCGCGAAAGCGUGGGGGAGSAAACAGGAUUAGAUACCCCUGGUAGUCCACGCCCUAAACGAUGUCGACUGGUUGUUGGGGGUUUGACACUCUCAGUAACGAARGCUAACGCGKGAAGUCGACCGCCUGGGGAGUACCGCCGCAAGGUUAAAACUCAWAUGAAUUGACGG